UGAUUAUGAACAAUUACACCAAGAUUUCGGAAUAGAAGAUAACGAAAUUGGAAUAGAAGAUGAGAUACCACCUACACCUACUAGUGGAAAUGUUAGUAGUAUUGGAGUUGGAGUUGCUAGUGCAACAAGGGGUAGAAGACCACCAGUCGCUCAAACUUUUAAAUCUAAUCGUAGAAAAAGAAGUCCUGUUUGGCAAUUUUUUGAUGAGAUAAAAGAUAGUGAUAGAGUUAAGUGUAGACUUUGUAAUGAAACGUUUAAACAUUUGACCGGAGGUANNNNNNN
rnacentral:lncRNA from 1 species